GCGCGAAACCUUCACAAUGCACGAAAGUGUGAUGAGGGUACUCCGAGUGCGCAUACAUUGUAUGUGCUUUUCUGCAGCGUAAAUAGUUGCAGGAAUAAGGGCUGGGCAAGACCGGUGCCAGCCGCCGCGGUAACACCGGCAGCCCUAGUGGUGGCCGCUUUUAUUGGGCCUAAAGCGUCCGUAGCCGGAUAGGCAAGUCUUUGGGUAAAUCCUACGUCUUAAGCGUGGGAAUUCUAAAGAUACUACCUGUCUUGAGGCCGGGGGAGGCUAGAGGUACUCCUGGGGUAGGGGUAAAAUCCUAUAAUCCUGGGGGGACCACCGAUGGCGAAGGCAUCUAGCUGGAACGGGCCUGACGGUGAGGGACGAAACCCAGGGGAGCGAGCCGGAUUAGAUACCCGGGUAGUCCUGGGCGUAAAUGAUGUGGGCUUGGUGUGAGCGCAUCGACGAGGUGCGUUUGUGCCGUAGGGAAGCCGUUAAGCCCACCGCCUGGGGAGUACGGUCGCAAGGCUGAAACU
rnacentral:rRNA from 1 species